rnacentral:lncRNA from 1 species
CUGAUGAUGGACUCUCUGCCUGCCGGGGGGAAAGCAAAAAGAAGAAUGUGGGAACACAUUUAACUGCUCAUCACCUGCCGAGGAGCUUUAAAGACAAUGCCUGGUUCCACUCUGAGGUCCUGAUGCCAUUGGUCUGGGAUGUGGCCUGGACAUUGGGAUUUUUAAAAGCCCCUCAGAGCUGCCCAGGCACCUGUCUCCGCAAUCUCGUCUUCAGGCUCAUCUCAGAACCACUUCAAAAUGGCUCUGAUUCCAGGUGCUGAGAAAGCCAGGCCAAGGAUAAAAUGGGGCAAAGGUCAGUUUCUGCCCUCUUCAGUCACCCACCUUCUCUGGAGCAAGUGGGACGCCUGCCCCAGGGAGGUCCCGGAGGAGCCGGCUGAGGAACUUUGAAAGGAGGUGAUUACGUUGCAGAAAUUGAGAGAAUCUUCCACCCUCCCCAGCGCUGGGCUCAACCCACCUCUCCUCAGAAGGUGCAGAGGCUCCAGUGCCUGCCAGGGAGCACCGGAUUCUGUGCGAAAAGCGGGCUUUGUGAUCAGAGAGCCAGGAUUUAAUUACCACCCCACUUACUUGCUGUGUGACCUUGGGUGAAUUUCUUAACCUCUCUGAGUUUAUCAAUCAAAUUACUGCACAGUAAUAUCAAAUACGUAUGUGGUACAGAGGGGG